GUGCCAGCCGCCGCGGUAAUACGUAGGUUGCAAGCGUUACCCAGUUUAUUGGGCGUAAAGGGUCUGUAGGCGGUUUCUUAAGUCCUCUUUUAAAGACUUUGGCUUUACUGAAGGAAAGGAGGGGAUACUGAGAGACUUGAGUGAUACCGAGGCUACAGGAAUUUAUAGUGUAGGGGUAAAAUCCAUGGAUACUAUAAAGAACACCAAGGGCGAAGGCUGGUAGUUAGGUGCAUACUGACGCUGAGAGACGAAAGCUAGGGUAGCAAAUCAGAUUAGAGACCUGAGUAGUCCUGGCCGUAAACGAUGUCUGCUAAUCCCGCGAUUUUUUGUGGGAUGCAAGCUAACGCGUUAAGCAGACCGCCUGGGGAGUACAGCCGCAAGGCCGAAACUCAAACGAACUGGCGGGGAGGCGCACAACCAGUGGAGCAUGUGGUUCAAUUCGAUACGGAGCGAUAAACCUCACCUGGACUUGAAAUGUACCUGCACUCCGAUAGAAAUAUUGGAGGCCUUCGAGGGUGGUACACAGCUGUUGCAUGGCUGUCGUCAGCUCGUGACGUGAGUUGUUCUCUUAAGUGAGGCAACGAGCGCAACCCCCAUCCCGUGUUACUAUGUCACGGGAGACUGCUCAGCAUUAUUUUUGUUGGGAGGAAGGAGGGGACGACGUCAAGUCAGCAUGAUGCUUAUGUCCGGGGCUACACGCAUCCUACAAUGACAUGUACAACGAGUCGCAAAACCGCGAGGUUAAGCCAAUCUCUUAAAACUUGUCUCAGUGGGGAUUGUAGUCUGAAACCCGACUGCAUGAACUUGGAAUUGGUAGUAAUCGCGGAUCAGCAGGCCGCGGUGAAUGCGUUCUCGCCUCUUGCACACACUGCCCGUCAAAUCAGCAAAGUUGAGGGCACCCAAAAUCUUUCCCGCGCGAGUGUGGAAGGCCUAAGGUGAAUUCAGCGAUGAGGGUUAAGUCGUAACAAGGUAACC
rnacentral:rRNA from 1 species